CAGGUAGGUAGUUUAAGUAAAAUACCGAUUUUGGAAAUCGCUGACUGGGUAUCAAUCCCACCACCUGA
rnacentral:tRNA from 1 species